GAUGAACGCUGGCGGCGUGCCUAAUACAUGCAAGUCGAGCGAACAGACGAGGAGCUUGCUCCUCUGACGUUAGCGGCGGACGGGUGAGUAACACGUGGAUAACCUACCUAUAAGACUGGGAUAACUUCGGGAAACCGGAGCUAAUACCGGAUAAUAUAUUGAACCGCAUGGUUCAAUAGUGAAAGACGGUUUUGCUGUCACUUAUAGAUGGAUCCGCGCCGCAUUAGCUAGUUGGUAAGGUAACGGCUUACCAAGGCAACGAUGCGUAGCCGACCUGAGAGGGUGAUCGGCCACACUGGAACUAAGACACGGUCCAGACUCCUACGGGAGGCAGCAGUAGGGAAUCUUCCGCAAUGGGCGAAAGCCUGACGGAGCAACGCCGCGUGAGUGAUGAAGGUCUUCGGAUCGUAAAACUCUGUUAUUAGGGAAGAACAAAUGUGUAAGUAACUAUGCACGUCUUGACGGUAACUAAUCAGAAAGCCACGGCUAACUACGUG
rnacentral:rRNA from 1 species